rnacentral:rRNA from 1 species
CAAUCACUUGUCUUUUAAAUGAAGACCUGUAUGAAAGGUAAUACGAGGGCUUAACUGUCUCCCUCUUUUAAUCAAUGAAAUUGAUCUCCCCGUGCAGAAGCGGGAAUAUAUACAUAAGACGAGAAGACCCUGUGGAGCUUUAAACACAAAGAAGGCUUACACCAAAUUUGUCUAAUAAAUAGACUUAACCUUGUAACCCCCUUCUCUCUGUUUUUGGUUGGGGCGACCGCGGAGAACCAUCAAACCUCCAUGAAGACAGAAAGCACAGCUUUUACAAGAAAGGGCUACAACCCUAUCUCACAGAAAUUCUGACCCUUGAUCCGGCAUGCCGAUCAACGAACCCAGUUACCCCAGGGAUAACAGCGCAAUCUUCUCCCAGAGCCCA